ensembl:lncRNA
UGUCAUGGUCCGGGUGUGUGCCAGUGUGUCUCCCUCCGAGCCGGCGUCUCCACCCCUGGGAGGGGCCUCAGUGUUUUUGCUGAUCGUUGACAUCUGUGGGUAAUUAGCCGGGGGACUCAUAAGGCCAGCGUUCUCAAUCUCUCUUCGCCAGAUUCUCUGCUAAACAUCACUACACCUAACUGUUAAACCCCUGGCGAAGAGCUUCUACUUGGAUGCUGGACCUUCUGGCAGUCCCUCAGGCUACCACCAAAACUACCUACCUGCCUCUCUGCCUCCACGCCAGGAGCUUUUGGAUUUACACACCCGGAUUACUCCCCCUCUAUGUCAUCUCCGACCUCCGUUGUGACCCCGACCUUUUCCUGGACCUUUUGUGACUUGCUUUCCAGUCCAAUCCCCGGACCCGGACCAGAUCAUUAUUUAGUUAACGUCUACGCUCACCUUUUGUUUAUGAAUAUUUUGUGUGCAC